rnacentral:rRNA from 1 species
UACGGAGGGUGCAAGCGUUAAUCGGAAUUACUGGGCGUAAAGCGUGCGCAGGCGGUUUUGUAAGCCAGAUGUGAAAUCCCCGGGCUUAACCUGGGAAUGGCAUUUGGGACUGCAAGGCUUGAGUGCGGCAGAGGAGACUGGAAUCCUGGUGUAGCAGUGAAAUGCGUAGAUAUCAGGAGGAACACCGAUGGCGAAGGCAGGUCUCUGGGCUGACACUGACGCUCAUGCACGAAAGCGUGGGGAGCAAACAGG